rfam:Stegodyphus mimosarum contig5233, whole genome shotgun sequence.
GGCUCAGUUGUCUAGGGGUAUGAUUCUCGCUUUGGGUGCGAGAGGUCCCGGGUUCAAAUCCCGGCUGAACCC